AGAUGAUGAUGAUUCUAUAUUUGAUAUCAUAGACCAGUUACUAGCUGAAGACAAUCGCAUGCUACAUGAGUCU
rfam:Arabidopsis thaliana chromosome 4, complete sequence.